GCUUGCCUGCAAACCUUUACUUCUGAAAUGACUUCCACGGCUGGGACGGGAACCUUCCACCCACAGCUAUGCCUCUGAUUGGUGAAUGGUGAAGGUGCCUGUCUAACUUUUCUGUAAAAAGAACCAGCUGCCUCCAGGCAGCCAGCCCUCAAGCAUCACUUACAGGACCAGAGGGACAAGACAUGACUGUGAUGAGGAGCUGCUUUCGCCAAUUUAACACCAAGAAGAAUUGAGGCUGCUUGGGAGGAAGGCCAGGAGGAACACGAGACUGAGAGAUGAAUUUUCAACAGAGGCUGCAAAGCCUGUGGACUUUAGCCAGCAAGCUCAGGAUAACAUCACGAGUGCCCGGCUGCUGCAGCAGGAGGUUCUGCAGAACGUCUCGCAAGAAAAUGAGAUGUUUUCCAUCAGAGACAGUGCACACAGGCGGUUUCUGCUAUUCCGGAGAGCAUUCAAACAGUUGGACGUAGAAGCAGCUCUGACCAAAGCCCUUGGGGAAGUGGACAUUCUUCUGACCUGGAUGCAGAAAUUCUACAAGCUCUGAAUGUCUAGACCAGGACCUCCCUCCCCCUGGCACUGGUUUGUUCCCUGUGUCAUUUCAAACAGUCUCCCUUCCUAUGCUGUUCACUGGACACUUCACGCCCUUGGCCAUGGGUCCCAUUCUUGGCCCAGGAUUAUUGUCAAAGAAGUCAUUCUUUAAGCAGCGCCAGUGACAGUCAGGGAAGGUGCCUCUGGAUGCUGUGAAGAGUCUACAGAGAAGAUUCUUGUAUUUAUUACAACUCUAUUUAAUUAAUGUCAGUAUUUCAACUGAAGUUCUAUUUAUUUGUGAGACUGUAAGUUACAUGAAGGCAGCAGAAUAUUGUGCCCCAUGCUUCUUUACCCCUCACAAUCCUUGCCACAGUGUGGGGCAGUGGAUGGGUGCUUAGUAAGUACUUAAUAAACUGUGGUGCUUUUUUUGGCCUGUCUUUGGAUUGUUAAAAAACAGAGAGGGAUGCUUGGAUGUAAAACUGAACUUCAGAGCAUGAAAAUCACACUGUCUUCUGAUAUCUGCAGGGACAGAGCAUUGGGGUGGGGGUAAGGUGCAUCUGUUUGAAAAGUAAACGAUAAAAUGUGGAUUAAAGUGCCCAGCACAAAGCAGAUCCUCAAUAAACAUUUCAUUUCCCACCCACACUCGCCAGCUCACCCCAUCAUCCCUUUCCCUUGGUGCCCUCCUUUUUUUUUUAUCCUAGUCAUUCUUCCCUAAUCUUCCACUUGAGUGUCAAGCUGACCUUGCUGAUGGUGACAUUGCACCUGGAUGUACUAUCCAAUCUGUGAUGACAUUCCCUGCUAAUAAAAGACAACAUAACUCAAGUCUGGCAGACUUUCUUCUCUAUUUCUGGAUGAAUGCCCAGUGAGACUGUGUUGUACAGCUAGAAAAGGCCUUCUUCCCAAUAGCAAGGCUGUGCAUCUAGCCUCAAGCUCUGGCUGAACUUUGUGGUCGACAUCAAUCUAAAGAUACAGUGUCUGACUAUAACCUUGUUCCAAAAACCUAGGCAAAGAGUAUAUGUAGGAGGUGGGAUAUCACUUCCAUGACAUAAGUGCUAUUGCAGAGCCGUGGCCACCCAGGAACUCCUGACUGCUUUCC
rnacentral:lncRNA from 1 species